rnacentral:lncRNA from 1 species
UAAAACACAGUAACUAUUGUUUUAGCGCAGUGUUCAUUUUAAGGUAAUUUGUAGUUUUAACAACGUACAUAGUAGGCCAAAACGCCAAUUUUUGUCCCUCUAUGUAGUAAGAACGCAUUACGCCAAGCGCUUCCCCUAAAGGGGAAGAAGGGGUUCUUCUUCUUCCCCUUUAGGGGAACUUUGGUGUGUUCUUCCCCUUUAGGGGAACCCCUUCUUCUUCCCCUUCGUUUUCACCCCUUUAGUUCAUCCCCUUUAGUUCCCCUAAAGGGGAUGAACUAAAGGGGAUGAACUAAAGGGGAAGAAGGGGAGCACUUCUUCAUCCCCUUUAGGGGAACUAAAGAAGACGGAGUCCCCUAAAGGGGAAGAAUAAGAGACUUUGGCUCCCCCUUCGUCUCCGUCCCCUUUAGGGGAAGAAAACGAAGAAGAGACUUUGGGGAUAACCUAAAGGGGAACUUUAGUUCAUCUUCUUUAGGGGAACUAAAGUUCCCCUUUAGGGGAAGAAGAAGAAGAAGAACUAAAGGGGAUGGAAGCCAAUCCCCCGGGGGUAACAACGUUGUAGGCUUAGACUCCGGCCUACUCCCUUAAGCUAUAGGGCGUAGACCCGAGUUUAGACAUAACAACGUAGUCUAAAUGACAAAGANACAUAUGUGAGGGCCCAUGGGCCCUCACAAAUGUUGUGCAAACAAAGGCUUCUCCUCCCAUAUGUCACAAGGCUUCAUUUAAACAUACGGCCUAGGCCAGAUUGUGUUACUAUGUUUUUUUUUAUUGCUAAAACCAUAUACCUUAAUUAAAANNN